rnacentral:lncRNA from 1 species
ACCGACCGACCUCCUAUCAGGCUCCCCAUAAAAUCAGACUUCCCCGGCAAACGAUCUUCGGAUGAGCCUCCACAUCAGAUAAAUCCCAGACAUACUUCCCUAACGAUCGGACUUCGCCGGACUCUGCCAAUAGAAAAUCUCCAUCCGAGCUCUUACGGCAGGCGACCCCCGCCUGAAACGUCAGCGACCUCAGAACAUCUGAGCCUCUCCCAGAA